AAAUAAGUUUGUAGAAGCUAGGGUUCGAACCCAACUCCUCGGACCCAAGCACAACCGAACCAUGCCCGACCAGUUGAGCUAUGCUCGUUCUGUUAACUAGGUAUGGAGAGAAAAAUAUCUAAAGUAAAGUUAUAUGGAAACCCUAGAGAUAAUAAGAGGGAAAAAACUUAAGUGGGUUUUCGGAAAAGGGAUCUUUUUCUCCCGAAAUUCUUUCUCUCCUCAUCUCUCUCGCGCGACAGCGGCGGCUCGGGCGGAAAACACUUCGAGGCGACGGCGCUAGGGUUCCUCUCCGGUGCCGGCGAAAGGAUUCUCUCGGCCGGUCUUCACCCGUACGUGGUCACCGUGACGAAGGGAGCUCGGGAACUCAAGGGAGCCGCCGAGAUCUUCAAGCUUCACCCGAAACCCUAGAAUUUGCUCUCCUCCGGUUGUAAGUUCAAAACAGCGAGAUAAAGAAAAAGGAAAACUAAUAUGAAGGAAGGCGACAAGGAGAUGCAAGAGGGGUGUGUGAUGUUUGCACUAUCGGAGUCCUAGGGAUCCUUGCAAAUAAGAUGAAUUAUGAUUUGUUCUUUGAGUUAAUUAAGUUUUUAUGUGUUAAGGAAAUUUGAUAACUGUUUAUAAGGACAUUUGAUACUGUGUUUGCUAUUCAGUUGUGGUUGUGGAUUA